CGUAGGGUGCAAGCGUUAAUCGGAAUUACUGGGCGUAAAGCGUGCGCAGGCGGUUUUGUAAGUCUGUUGUGAAAUCCCCGGGCUCAACCUGGGAAUGGCAAUGGAGACUGCAAGGCUAGAGUUUGGCAGAGGGGGGUAGAAUUCCACGUGUAGCAGUGAAAUGCGUAGAUAUGUGGAGGAACACCGAUGGCGAAGGCAGCCCCCUGGGUCAAAACUGACGCUCAUGCACGAAGGCGUGGGGAGCAAACAGGAUUAGAUACCCUGGUAGUCCACGCCCUAAACGAUGUCUACUAGUUGUCGGGUCUUAAUUGACUUGGUAACGCAGCUAACGCGUGAAGUAGACCGCCUGGGGAGUACGGUCGCAAGAUUA
rnacentral:rRNA from 1 species